rnacentral:rRNA from 1 species
AGAGUUUGAUCAUGGCUCAGGACGAACGCUGGCGGCGUGCCUAACACAUGCAAGUCGAGCGAAGUAUAUCUAAGUGAAGUUUUAGGACAGAACGAAGAUAUAUCUUAGCGGCGGACGGGUGAGUAACGCGUGAGCAACCUGCCUUUCACAAAGGGAUAGCCUCGGGAAACUGGGAUUAAUACCAUAUAAAACUUACCUUUCGCAUGAAAGGAAAGUCAAAGCGAUAAGCGGUGAAAGAUGGGCUCGCGUCCUAUUAGCUAGUUGGUGAGGUAACGGCUCACCAAGGCGACGAUAGGUAGCCGGCCUGAGAGGGUGAACGGCCACACUGGAACUGAGACACGGUCCAGACUCCUACGGGAGGCAGCAGUGGGGGAUAUUGCACAAUGGAGGAAACUCUGAUGCAGCGACGCCGCGUGAGUGAAGAAGGCCUUCGGGUCGUAAAGCUCUGUCCUAGGGGAAGAUAAUGACGGUACCCUAGGAGGAAGCCCCGGCUAACUACGUGCCAGCAGCCGCGGUAAUACGUAGGGGGCGAGCGUUGUCCGGAAUUACUGGGCGUAAAGAGUUCGUAGGCGGUUUGAUAAGUCAGAUGUGAAAGGCGUAGGCUUAACCUAUGUAAGCAUAUGAAACUGUCAGACUUGAGGUAAGGAGAGGAAAGUGGAAUUCCUAGUGUAGCGGUGAAAUGCGUAGAUAUUAGGAGGAAUACCAGUGGCGAAGGCGACUUUCUGGACUUAAACUGACGCUGAGGAACGAAAGCGUGGGGAGCAAACAGGAUUAGAUACCCUGGUAGUCCACGCCGUAAACGAUGAGUGCUAGGUGUCGGGUAGAAAUAUUCGGUGCCGCAGCUAACGCAAUAAGCACUCCGCCUGGGGGAGUACGUACGCAAGUAUGAAACUCAAAUGAAUUGACGG